rnacentral:rRNA from 1 species
ACUGAAUAGAUACCCUGGUAGUCCACGCCCUAAACGAUGUCUACUAGUUGUCGGGGAUUCAUUUCCUUGGUAAACGCAGCUAAACGCGUGAAGUAGACCGCCUGGGGAGUACGGCCGCAAGGUUAAAACUCAAAGGAAUUGACGGGGACCCGCACAAGCGGUGGAUGAUGUGGAUUAAUUCGAUGCAACGCGAAAAACCUUACCUACGCUUGACAUGCCAGGAACUUUCCAGAGAUGGAUUGGUGCCCGAAAGGGAACCUGGACACAGGUGCUGCAUGGCUGUCGUCAGCUCGUGUCGUGAGAUGUUGGGUUAAGUCCCGCAACGAGCGCAACCCUUAUCCUUAGUUGCUACGCAAGGGCACUCUAGGGAGACUGCCGGUGACAAACCGGAGGAAGUGGGGAUGACGUCAAGUCCUCAUGGCCCUUAUGUGUAGGGCUUCACACGUCAUACAAUGGUCGGUACAGAGGGUCGCAACCCGCAGGGGGAGCCAAUCCCAGAAAACCGAUCGUAGUCCGGAUUGCAGUCUGCAACUCG